GAUGAACGCUGGCGGCGUGCCUAAUACAUGCAAGUCGAGCGAACAGACGAGGAGCUUGCUCCUCUGACGUUAGCGGCGGACGGGUGAGUAACACGUGGAUAACCUACCUAUAAGACUGGGACAACUUCGGGAAACAGGAGCUAAUACCGGAUAAUAUAUUGAACCGCAUGGUUCAAUAGUGAAAGACGGUUUUGCUGUCACUUAUAGAUGGAUCCGCGCCGCAUUAGCUAGUUGGUAAGGUAACGGCUUACCAAGGCAACGAUGCGUAGCCGACCUGAGAGGGUGAUCGGCCACACUGGAGCUGAGACACGGUCCAGACUCCUACGGGAGGCAGCAGUAGGGAAUCUUCCGCAAUGGGCGAAAGCCUGACCGAGCAACGCCGCGUGAGUGAUGAAGGUCUUCGGAUCGUAAAACUCUGUUAUUAGGGAAGAACAAAUGUGGAAGUAACUAUGCACGUCUUGACGGUACCUAAUCAGAAAGCCACGGCUAACUACGUG
rnacentral:rRNA from 1 species